AUGUCUUACUUUAUAUCAUCUUAGGUCCACCUUAUUGUAACUCACAAGUUACACUUUAUGCUUCUUUGAAGCCUUAAAUCUGCCAAUGCAGAUAUCCUUCAUCUAAUGAAACCACCAUAACCUGCAGGUGUGAAUACAUCUCCAAAACAAUCAUGCAUCACUUUCAUUAGAUCAAUAAUAAUACAAACGAUGUUUGUAGCCAACGGACACAACUGAAAAUACCAAAUAGGCACAUGUCCAAGUAAAAUAUCCCAAAAACUUCAUAAAACAAAUUAAUUCAACACUUGUGAGCAAGAUGAAUUAAUAUGUUUUUGACACUGAUCUAUGCACCAUACCAGUUACUUUCAUAGUGAUUUCCAACACCUGCGGGCAAGAUGGAAAUCCUCAUAACUGAGGUAGUGCAUAAACCAUGUCAUGCUAUUUAAUAUGCAAUUUGAUAACAACUUGAUAUCUGAUAUAUAUUUCAUCAGAUAAUUGACUAGCACACGAAAAAUGUGACUGAAUGAAUCCAACUGGAGAUUAAAUUGAAUACAUGGAUUCUAUACAUACCUUAUAGGUCUUUUGCAAAUGUAAGGCAUUACUAACACGAAAUUCAAACUCCCACUGAUCUGCAACAUUUGCAAAUCAAUUCUUAAAUCAUACUUUUGAAAAUAUUCCUUUGGGAAUAGCCUUGCUUAGUCAAUGAAUGCGUAUUACCUCAAUGGAAGGUACAACUAAGCAUGAAAGCAUUCAUUGCUGUUUACACAUAAAACGUGCAUCCAACAACCAUCUUAUAUGUAUUAAUAAGUCCACAUUUAUACUAAGUCCUUAUGAGCCCCAAAACAAAAUGAUCAAUCGAGAAAUCUAAAUGAUUGCAAGUAACAGAAAUAUGUACACAUGUACUAAGUAGCCAUUCGUGCAACUUCAACAUAUUAUUGUUAUUCGAGUAACACAAAUUCAUGGAAGAUAGAAUAACGUUUUAAUAAAUUCAUGCAAAUCCACUUAAUGCUCAAAAACUCCCACUAAGUUUUCAGAGUUUAUACUUGCAAAUAAGUUAAUGAGUAUGAAGCCCAAUUUUCGUUCACUAAUUCUCCCACUUGGGCAAACACUCUUUCAAAGAUGUACCUAAAUAAAACUGCUCUAUAUUUUGGACAUAAUAAAAUAGACAUUACAACCAACAUAAAGUUGUCAAACAGAAUUUCAGCAACGAGUUACACUUACUUUAGAAUUUAUCACAAUUAAUUUACAAGCUUGAUUGCUACCAAAGUUAUACUGACCAAAAUAGACAUACUAAUCUUCAUUAAAUAAAAAUAUACAGCCGUUUUGGGUCAAAAUAGUAGUCUAAAGUCAUGUCUCAAAAAGACCAACACAAUCUGCCAGUAAAACUGCCUAUACAAGCACGGGUUACUAGUAAAUUCACCAUAAUUAAAAUACAUGGCAAAAAAUUACAAAACUUUGCCGACACAUAUUAGACAUUUAUAUGUUGAACAUAUCCAAAAUUCAGGUCAUUUGGUGACUAUUAGAUAUGUCAUUUGCCCGAUUUAAAUCAAGACACGCAAUCUGCCAGAAACAAUUAUGUGCAUCUAUCAUGAAUUUAUGCAUCCAUAACAAAUUUAAUUUCAUAUCAUUUCAAUUUUGAUGUCCAAAGGAAACUUUAGUAGUCAAAUUUCAUCCUUUAAACCGACAUCAUAGUUCAAAUUGAAAAUAUUUACAAGCAUAAAAUUUAAACAAUGUGUACCUUAGCAAUCCCUGAUUAACCUUCAUGGGUCCAAUACUGUGCAUCAAUAAGUCUCAUGAAGAGACACAAAAUACGUCAUGAUGCAACCAAUUUUCAUGCCUUCAAACCACAACAUUUUAUGGGGCUCAUUGUGGAAAUAUUUGUCACUAAUGGCAUGAAACUUUAUCCCAAUAAACUUCAUGAAACUAAAUUAAUUUACACCUGUAGGCAAGAAAAUUAACUAGUUUCUAGUACUAGAUUUUUUGUCACAAAAGUACAUGAAAAACUUCAACACAUGUAGGCAAGAUGAAGAUUUUCACAACUUCUGUGAAAUAAAACCCAUACUAUGCCAUCUUAAUUAAACUAAAAGAAGUAAUCCACACAUGUAGGCAAGAAGAUUAUCCCUUUUAUUCUAAUUAAGAUGCAAAGUUGACCGAAGUAACUCAAAACACAGUCCCAUCAUCAACUAAAAUGUUGCGGCUUGCUUUAGUUGAAAAGACAUUGAUCAACUCUGCCCUGAAACAAUACAAGAAGUCACAUGGAUUAAUUAACUGCAAGUGACAAAAUUAUGAUAACCUAAUUCGAGCUUCGAGUCUUGCCAACAAAUGGCACUAAUUCCUUCAUGACUCCCCUUGACAUUAAAUUAAUCUCAAGAAACCUGACAACAUACUUGAAAGAGAUUAAUCACAUACAGAACAAGUUUCAUUCCACCACAAGAAUGUCAAUACUUAUCAUUAUGGAGUCAAUUACUUAAAAGCUAAAUUGCUCAAAUAUUUUCUUAAGUUAAACAUGUUCCUUUCCUUUUUAUACAUUUCUUUCCGUAUUACAAAACUACUAAACAUAGCAUUGAAAUCAUGCAUUAGCUUUGUAAAUACCAAAUUAAAUAAAAGGAACAACCAAAAUUAUUUUCUUCCAUAGAAAACAUCUCCAAUAUGUGCCCUUCAUUAGCCUUGAAAAGUUUCUUUUCUUCUCCCCUUAUGGCACAUAAAAAUUUACUAACCAAGUAUUGUUUAAAUUCUUUAGGCAUAGGAAUAACCACAAACAAUAAUACAUGUUUGAAAAUUCAUGCUUAUCAAUCACAUACUUUGAAUGGAUAACAUACCUCAUGCCUUCAUAUGUUCACCACCUUUUACUAAACAUAUGUAUAAUCAAAUGAUUAACCAAAAAGCUAUAAUUCACCACAUUCCAAGCUCAUGGAAAUGUUUAAAAUUGCAUCAUCUCAUACUUGCUUGAACCAAAAUAGUCAUACAAGUAACAUUAUACACACCAUUUGCUUAACAAAUGUUGCCAAAAUAUGUAUGACUUACUUUCAUGUAUAAGAAAUACAUAAAAUUCACUGACAAGCAUGUAAAAAGUUGAUCUGCGAAUAACUUAACAUAUGCAUCCCUGAAACACAACUUUAAUAUAUGUUAUCAUAAUCAUACAUGUAGGCACAAUCUAUAUACCAACAAUAGUACUGAGACAAUUUAAAAGUGAACCAAUUCCGUCUCCUGCAUUUAAAAAGAUGUCAAGCAACAUUCGAAAUCUCAUGUCCAUCUCUUAAUUGUAAUAAUUAGGUAAUUGAAGUUGAACUUUAUUCAAUUUACCUCUCAAACGCUAAGCCAUAGGCGACAUAUAUGUUCUUGCACUUGUGUCGGAAUAUCCAAACUAUUUUGACAAAAUAGUCUUAAACGAGUAUGAUAAUCUAUGCAUAUAUCAAUGUUUCUCAGUAUGCCUUCUUUAUGCGUACAAUUUGGAUACUGGUGUUAUAAUAAAAUUUACACAAGCAAUACAAGCUCUAUAUGCAUAAUUGGCUUUUGAAAAUUACAUGUACUUGCUUAGAUCAUCAAUCAAUAGUUCUUGAAUCCAAUACAACCAUUAUUGUAUAUAACUGAACAUGAAGACCAAAAGAAAAUAUCAUACCAGGAUCUCAUAUGCUGAUGAACUUCCCCAUUGGGCUUGCUCGAUGGAGGAAUCUCAAGAAAUUCUCCAAUGCAUGGUUAGAACAAAUGUAAAUGGGUACACAUGCUUACAAAAACUUGAGAUUACAAAUGUACAUAACCUAUACUUUUUCCAAGUUCUGUCACGUGAACUUGUGACCUUAGGUAUAGACCCGUAUUGGGCCGUUGUCAUUGUCCACCUUGGGCGCACCUAACAUAGAAGUUCUAUCACGUGUAAUAUAAUAGAGCCCGCCUUGAAGCCCUUUAAGUGGUAGGUUGCAGCCGCUGGAUGUGUAAAAAGGGACCUUAACCUUCAUGGCUUCAACUUAUACAAUAGUAGUACAUGGUCAACCAAAAUACUAGCAUUAAAAAUUGAAAUAAAACUCUAAAAUAUUCCAUGGUUUUCAAUCGUACUUAAUCCAAUGAAUUAACUAAUCAAACUUUUCUUUACAUCCCUUUAUCAGAACCGUUGGUGGUAAUCUAUUUUGACUAUUCAAAUUGGCCUUUAUUGAUCAAGCGAGCACAUGAAAAUAAAACCUGCAUAACCAGUGGCUCGACCAAAACUUAUUAUAUGCAAAACAAAGGCCUUAUUUAAAU
rnacentral:lncRNA from 1 species